UACGUAGGGGGCGAGCGUUGUCCGGAUUCAUUGGGCGUAAAGAGCUCGUAGGCGGCUUGGCAAGUCGGAUGUGAAAACUCCAGGCUCAACCUGGAGCCGCCAUUCGAUACUGCCAUGGCUAGAGUCCGGUAGGGGAGUGUGGAAUUCCCGGUGUAGCGGUGAAAUGCGCAGAUAUCGGGAGGAACACCGAUGGCGAAGGCAGCACUCUGGGCCGGCACUGACGCUGAGGAGCGAAAGCGUGGGGA
rnacentral:rRNA from 1 species